rnacentral:rRNA from 1 species
GACGAACGCUGGCGGCGUGCUUAACACAUGCAAGUCGAACGGAAAGGCCCUGCUUUUGUGGGGUGCUCGAGUGGCGAACGGGUGAGUAACACGUGAGUAACCUGCCCUUGACUUUGGGAUAACUUCAGGAAACUGGGGCUAAUACCGGAUAGGAGCUCCUGCUGCAUGGUGGGGGUUGGAAAGUUUCGGCGGUUGGGGAUGGACUCGCGGCUUAUCAGCUUGUUGGUGGGGUAGUGGCUUACCAAGGCUUUGACGGGUAGCCGGCCUGAGAGGGUGACCGGCCACGUUGGGACGGGGAUACGGCCCGGACCCGUACGGGAGGGGGGGGUGGGGAGGGGUGCACAGGGGGCGGGAGCCUGGUGCGGCAACGCCGCGUGGGGGAAGACGGGCUGCGGGUUGUAAUCCGCUUUCGCCUGUGACGAGGCGUGAGUGACGGUAAUGGGUGAAGAAGCACCGGCUAACUACGUG